GGGCCAUGGCAGCAGUAGGAAGGGCUGGUGGUAGUGGUGGGGUCUGUGGGUGGGGUUCUCAGUCAGACGACACCAGCCACCUUGCGUGGGCCCCAGUGCUCAGCCUCCUGAGCGCCCAGCACUCCUUGGUCCCUGUGGUUCUUGCCCCAAACUCUCCACCCCUGGCCUUCCUCUUGUCAAAUUCUGGGCCCCAGUGAAGCCAGAUUUAAAGUUAGGUAGUCAGUGUAGUUAGAUAAAUCGGGUCUAAUAUCGAGUGAAAUCUAAAAUGGAGACCAUGCGGAGAAUGACUCAGGGAAAACACAGGACAACUCAUGGAAUGUUAAUGAAGUCCCGAAAAGGCCCUAGGCCAAAGUCCACCUCAAAGAAAUGUUAAUGAACAGCCCCCAGCAAAAAGGUGCUGACUCAGAAGUCCUUCCUGACCAGAUUACUUCUUUGGCCCACCUGUGUCCCACCCCUCGGGCCUUCCCACCUACAUUCCAUCACUGAAAGAACUAUAAAAAGGGGAGACAACAUCCCUUCCACGGAUUCCACCUCUUGGGUCCCCUUCUUCCUCCGGGAGAAGUCUUUUCUGCUGUCC
rnacentral:lncRNA from 1 species